rnacentral:rRNA from 1 species
UACGGGGGGGGGCAAGCGUUGUUCGGAAUUACUGGGCGUAAAGGGCUCGUAGGCGGCCAACUAAGUCGGAUGUGAAAUCCCCAGGCUCAACUUGGGAACUGCAUCCGAUACUGGAUGGCUUGAAUCCGGGAGAGGGAUGCGGAAUUCCAGGUGUAGCGGUGAAAUGCGUAGAUAUCUGGAGGAACACCGGUGGCGAAGGCGGCAUCCUGGACCGGCAUUGACGCUGAGGCGCGAAAGCCAGGGGAGCAAAUGGG